ensembl:snRNA U6 U6 spliceosomal RNA
GUGCUUGCUUGGGCAGCACAUAUACUAAAAUUAGAACUAUACAGAGAAGAUGAGUAUGGCCUCUGAGAAAAAAAACAACAACAACAAGAUAAAUAUAU